AAAAUGAAGUGUGUGUGUGGGGGGGGAGGGGGGAAACGCUGAAGAAGUUCUAAGAAAUGCUUUCAAGCAGGCGCUGCAUGUUGGAGAAUGGAUUCCUUGUUUUGACUCCAAUAUCUUCACUGCUGUUUGCUGCACAAUGUCCACAUUGUUGAGAUAUUGCCAUGGUGACAUACUGCAGGCCACUAUUGAGUCGCCCAUCAGUUCAUUACAAGGGACACUCCAAGCUUGAAACAGCCCCGACUCCCAAGCUGUUUAGAUGUCC
rnacentral:lncRNA from 1 species